GACGAACGCCGGCGGCGUGCUUAACACAUGCAAGUCGAACGGAAAGGCCCUGCUUUUGUGGGGUGCUCGAGUGGCGAACGGGUGAGUAACACGUGAGUAACCUGCCCUUGACUUUGGGAUAACUUCAGGAAACUGGGGCUAAUACCGGAUAGGAGCUCCUGCUGCAUGGUGGGGGUUGGAAAGUUUCGGCGGUUGGGGAUGGACUCGCGGCUUAUCAGCUUGUUGGUGGGGUAGUGGCUUACCAAGGCUUUGACGGGUAGCCGGCCUGAGAGGGUGACCGGCCACAUUGGGACUGAGAUACGGCCCAGACUCCUACGGGAGGCAGCAGUGGGGAAUAUUGCACAAUGGGCGGAAGCCUGAUGUAGCAACGCCGCGUGCGGGAUGACGGCCUUCGGGUUGUAAACCGCUUUCGCCUGUGACGAAGCGUGAGUGACGGUAAUGGGUAAAGAAGCACCGGCUAACUACGUG
rnacentral:rRNA from 1 species